rnacentral:rRNA from 1 species
GGAUUGCUCUAGUAACGGCGAGUGAAGCAGCAAUAGCUCAAAUUUGAAAUCUGGCGUCUUCGACGUCCGAGUUGUAAUUUGUAGAGGAUGCUUCUGAGUAACCACCGACCUAAGUUCCUUGGAACAGGACGUCAUAGAGGGUGAGAAUCCCGUAUGCGGUCGGAAAGGUGCUCUACACGUAGCUCCUUCGACGAGUCGAGUUGUUUGGGAAUGCAGCUCUAAAUGGGAGGUAAAUUUCUUCUAAAGCUAAAUAUUGGCCAGAGACCGAUAGCGCACAAGUAGAGUGAUCGAAAGAUGAAAAGCACUUUGGAAAGAGAGUUAAAAAGCACGUGAAAUUGUUAAAAGGGAAGGGAUUGCAACCAGACUUGCUCGCGGUGUUCCGCCGGUCUUCUGACCGGUCUACUCGCCGCGUUGCAGGCCAGCAUCGUCUGGUGCCGCUGGAUAAGACUUGAGGAAUGUAGCUCCCUCGGGAGUGUUAUAGCCUCUUGUGAUGCAGCGAGCGCCGGGCGAGGUCCGCGCUUCGGCUAGGAUGCUGGCGUAAUGGUCGUA